rnacentral:rRNA from 1 species
CAGUCGCCGCGGUAAUACGUAGGUCCCGAGCGUUGUCCGGAUUUACUGGGCGUAAAGGGCACGCAGGCUGUGCUUCAAGUCAGCUGUAAAAGGAUGCGGCUUAACUGUGUUAUGCAGUUGAGACUGAGGUGCUGGAGUACCGGAGAGGCAAGUGGAAUUCCCAGUGUAGCGGUGAAAUGCGUAGAUAUUGGGAAGAACAUCGGUGGCGAAGGCGACUUGCUGGACGGUAACUGACGCUGAGGUGCGUAAGCCAGGGUAGCGAACGGGAUUAGAUACCCCCGUAGUCCCUGUCUCUUAUACA